AUGUGGGACACACCCGGGGACAUGUGGGACACACCCGGGGACAUGUGGGACACACCUGGGGACAGGGACAGGUGGGACACACUUAGGGACACCUGGGGACACAUCAGAGACACCUGUGACACAUCUGGGGACAGAUGUGAUACUGUCAGGGACAGGUGGGACACACCUGGGGACAGGUGGGACAGGAACAGACAGGUGACACACCUGGGCAGCGGGGACAGGGACAGGUGUGACACAGCCAGAAAGGUGGGACACACCCAGGGACAGGUGGGACACUCUCAGAGACACCUGUGACACACUUGGGGACAGGUGUGACACUGUCAGGGAUACCUGGGGCACACCCGGGGACAGGUGGGACAGGUGUGAAACUUGGGGACAAGUGGGACAGGGACAUGGAAGGUGUGACACUGUCAGGGAUACCUGUGACACACUCGGGGGCAGGUGGGACACUGUCAGGGACAGGUGUGACACUUGGGGACACAGGUGACAUUGUCAGAGACACCUGUGACACUCCUGGGCAGGUGUGACACAGCCAGACAGGUGUGACACACUCAGAGACACCUGGGACACCCUUGGGGACAGGUGUGACACCUGGGACAGCCACACCGGACCAAAGGUGUGACACACCUGGGCUGGGGGGACAAGGAUGGGUGUGACACACCCAGGGCCAGGUGUGACACCUGGGGACACAGGUGACACAGGCAGGGACGGGUGCCACACUCAUCCAGGUGUGCCUGGUGUGUC
rnacentral:lncRNA from 1 species